ACGGCGCGGCAGACGGCCGCGGGAGGCCCUCGGGCCUCCUGAGGAAAGUCCGAGCACGAAAGGACACGGUGGUGGGUAACGCCCACCCGCUCCGACGGUUGGGGGCGAGGGAAAGUGCCACAGAAAACACACCGCCGAUGGCCCGAAAGGGAUCAGGCAAGGGUGAAAAGGUGCGGUAAGAGCGCACCGCCCGCGUGGUGACACGCGGGGCAUGGCAGACCCCACCGCGUGCAAGGUCAAGCAGCUUCCGCUCCGUGGAAACACGGGGACGCCCGGUCCGGGCGGAAGGGGGCGGGUCGACUGCUCGAGCGGCGCGGCGACGCGUCGCCCAGAGAAAUGGCCGUCGGGGCGUCGGGCAACCGGCGCUCGACAGAACUCGGCUUAUCGCCGCGCUGACCGC
rnacentral:RNase_P_RNA from 1 species